UUGACAAACGGAGGAAGGUGGGGACGACGUCAAAUCAUCAUGCCCCUUAUGUCCUGGGCUACACACGUACUACAAUGGCAAUAACAGAGGGCAGCCAAACCGCGAGGUUGAGCGAAUCCCAAAAUAUUGUCUCAGUUCAGAUUGCAGGCUGCAACUCGCCUGCAUGAAGUCGGAAUUGCUAGUAAUGGCAGGUCAGCAUACUGCCGUGAAUACGUUCCCGGGCCUU
rnacentral:rRNA from 1 species